UAAAGAUGAAUGUAAAAGAAACUAUGAUUGCUAAAAAUGAGGUUUGCUCGUGGUUUCAAAAAACCGUUAUUUGCAGGUUUUUUUGGGCUGCCGUGACCAUUAUACCGUUAAAUAACAAGUUUUAAAAAUUGUAGUUGCCACAGCCAUUACAGUCGUUAUCGACCAUUACAUAACAUUGUUACCUGACCAACUCUGCAUUUCUAGUUUUAUUUCACAUCUACUUCACUUCCAUGGCUAGCUCCAUUCACAUG
rnacentral:misc_RNA from 1 species